UCAGAGACAUUUUUUAUUGAACACUCAGCUAUUCUGUGUCAUGUUGAUUUCCUCAGGAUAUGAAUCAGAGAAGAACUGGAGCCUUAUCCCAGAGAGAGUAGAGAAGAAAGGGAAAGGAUUCUUCACUGAUCUAUCUUUGGAAUUGAUUGAGAAGAACUGAUGAAUUGGGCUUCUUGGCUUCUCUGCUCUUCACGUCUAUGGGUGAUUUUGAAGAUCUUGGCCUAGCAAGAUGGCAGCGGGUUUUAAAAUGGGAUUCCCACGAAGUUAACACUUUUUCAGUGCAGAAGUAUGAGCUUCCCAAGAAGAGAUUCUUGUGGGUGACUGAUAGAAUCAGUUCUCUUCUCCUUGCUGACCUGCCACAGUGUCUGCCCUGAGCCUUCUGAUGUCUCCAUGGAGAAAUGGGUUGUUGAAGAAUUAAUUUGUAGUUGGAUGCAACACUUACAUUUUUUGGAUGAUCAGCCAUGCGGAAAAACAAAUGUACCUGAGAAGACUUUAAGAAAAGCACAUGUAUCUCCUGUUCCCACAAUAAAAAUGUGUGUACCAACUGUGUAACUAUUUGU
rnacentral:lncRNA from 1 species